CAACUUUUCUCCUAGUGUCAGCAUCAACAGAACCGUGUGCCACCACCAACCAUUCAAAGACAAACUACAAGAUUUUGGAUUAGAAGAUAAAUGUGUGUGUGGCUACUCUAAGCUCAUCUAAUACUCCUGUAAGAAAAACAAUGGCUGAAGGAGCUUUGUUCCACCUUGCAGAAAAAGUCCUUGAACUGCUGCGUUCCUUAACUCUCCAAGAGGUCAAACUGGCCUCUAGUGUCAAAACAGAGAUUGAAAAACUAACAAACACUGUUACCACAAUCCAAGCAGUGAUUCUAGAUGCAGAAAAGCAGAGUUCUCAAGACCAUCAGAUCAAAGAUUGGCUCAGAAAGCUUAAGGAUGUUCUCCAUGAUGCAGAUGACUUGCUGGAUGAUUUCUCCACUGAUGUUUUGCGACAGAAAGUGAUGACAAAGAAGGUACGCAUUUUCUGUUCAAGUUCUAACCGGCUUACUUUUAGUCCUAAGGUGGGUCAUGAAAUAAAAGCAAUUAGGGAGAGACUAAAUGCCAUUACAAAAGAUAAGGAGGAUUUUCAUUUUAGUCAAAGCUUCGUUGAGCCACAAGUCAUGAAUAGGGAAAGGGGAGCUUAUUCUUUUGUAUUUGAAGAAGUUGUUGGGAGAGAGAAUGAUAAGGAAGUGAUUAUAGAAAGUCUUUUUAAUGAUAAUGUUGUAGAGAAUAUUUCUAUCAUUCCAAUAGUUGGCAUUGGAGGAUUGGGGAAGACAACCUUAGCUCAGCUAGUAUAUAAUGAUGAAAAUGUGGACAAAAAUUUUGAGCUAAAGCUUUGGAUUUGUAUCUCUGAUAUCUUUGAUGUAAAACGAAUUGUUAAAGAAAGUUUAGAACAAUUGACAAAGAGGAAGCAUGAAGGAAGCUUUGAGAUCUUGGAAAAACAGUUUCGAGAAGGAUUUAAUGGAAAAAAAUACUUGCUUGUCCUGGACGAUUUGUGGAUUGAGGAUAAAAAGAAAUGGCUUCUCUUGAGAAAUUUGCUAAUGGUUGGUGCAAGGGGAAGUAGGAUAAUCGUGACCACACGCUCAAAAAGGGUAGCAUGGAUAAUAGGGUCAAUUUCAUGGUAUGCUCUAAAAGGCCUACCUAUAGAAAAGAGUUGGAGCUUGUUUGUAAAAAUGGCAUUUGAACAAGGCCAACUGCUAGAACACCAAGCCUUUAUAAGCAUAGGAAAAGAGAUUGUGGAAAAGUGUGGUGGGGUACCUCUCAUCGUAAGGACAAUAGAAAGCUAGCUACGUUCCAAACCUUCAGAAAAUGAAUGGCAAUCCUUCAAAAACUAUUAACUCUCAAAAAUAACACAACAAGAAGAAUAUGAUAUUUCAUUAACACUUAAGUUGAGUUAUGAUCAUCUACCAUCACACUUAAAGUAAUGCUUUGCUUAUUGUAAAUUGUUUCCAAAAGAUUCCAAAAUUGAUGUAAAAACACUUAUUCAUCUUUGGGCAGCGCAAGGUUUUAUUAAGUUAUCAAAUUCAAAGCAAUGUAUUGAGGAUGUUGGCAAAGAGUAUUUUAUGGUAUUACUUUGGAGGUCUUUUUUUCAGGAUGUAAUAAAAGAUGAAUUGGGCAAUAUAGUAUUUUGCAAAAUGCACGAUCUCAUGCAUGAUCUAGCAAAUCUUGUGGCUGGGGCAGAAAGUACCAUGUUAACUUUAAGUGAGGAACAUAUUGAUGAAAAACUUCGUCAUGUAUCAUUUGAUCUUAGGUAUUCAUUGAGGCAAUUCCCAAUCCCCAUGGUUAAAGGAAUGAAAAUACGAACAAUUCUUGGAGCUAGUGUAGGGCAAGAGUUGAGUAAAUUAACUUGUGAUGCACUCAUUUCAAAUCUCAAUUAUUUACGCACAUUAGAUUUGAGUAAAUUAAAGCUAUGUAUAUUGCCAAAUUCAAUUGGAGAAUUAAAGCAUUUACGAUAUCUUGAUCUUUCUGAAAAUGAAGAUAUUGAAUUUCUCCCUAAUUCCAUUACUAAAUUGUUGAAUUUGCAAACAUUAAAACUCAAGUAUUGUAAGUCGCUUAGAGAAUUACCGAGGGAAAUUAAAAAUUUUGUCAAUCUCAGGCAUCUAGAUAUUUUUGAAUGUCAAAGAUUGACUCAUAUGCCCCUUGGACUUGAACUUUGUACUUCUCUUGAGAUACUACCACUUUUUGUUGUAAGCAAGGCUAAGUGUAGUGGAUUGAGUGAAUUGAAGGAGUUAAGUAAUUUGGGAGGAAGCCUAAGUAUUAACAAUUUGGGACAUGGAAAAGAUGACAUGCUGGAGCUGGAAUGUGAAGCUGCAAAACUGAAGGAGAAACAACAACUUCAACAAUUGAAAUUAUGGUGGGACUCAAGGUGGGCUGAAAAUAAUUUAAGUUAUGAUGAAAUGUCACUAGAAAAGCUCCAACCACAUCCAAAUCUUAAAGCUUUGAAGUUGUGGUUUUAUAUGGGUGUGAUAAUUCCAAGUUGGGUUUCUUCGCUCACUAAUAUUGUUGAUUUGGAAUUCUAUAGAAACAGAAACUUGCAACACCUCCCACCAUUAAAUCAACUACCAUUAGUAAAGCACUUGGUUCCUCAAAAACAACAUUCUUCCCAUCCUUAUCUUCUCUCAUAAUGUAUGAAUGCCCAAAUUUGAAGGGUUGGUGGUGGAAAGUUGAUGGUAAUGAGCCAGGCCAUCUUUUACUACCCUCAUUUCCUCGUCUUUCUUUUUUAAAGAUUACCGAAUGCCCUCACAUGUGCUCCAUGCCCCUGUUUCCAUAUCUCAAAGAAGGGCUUGUAUUAGAUACAACUAGCUUGAAGGCAUUUCAGCAGACAAUGAAUAUGGGAGCAACACAGAGUCCAUCAACAACAGCAACGACAUCAACCUCCGCAACAUUAGAAGAGGUUAACGAUUUAGAAUCUCUUCCAGAGGAGAAGUGUUUACGAAACCUCGUUUCUCUCCGAAAACUCUUCAUUUACAACUGUAAUGGACUCAGGUCUCUCCCUUGUAAAGGUAUUCAACAUCUCACCUCACUUCAAGAGAUGGAAAUCAUGUACUGCAAUGAGCUUGCGCUACUAAACGAUGAAGAUGAUGGCAUGCAAUGGCAAGGCCUUAGGAGCCUCCGUUUUCUUCAUUUAGAGAGAAUUCCAAAAUUGGUAUCUCUGCCAGAUGGGCUUCAACAUGUUACCACUCUCAAAUAUCUCAAAAUUAUUAAUUGUCCUAAUUUGAUGGCUUUACCAGUGUGGAUAGGCAACCUCACAUCACUAACAAAACUUGAAAUUGACAAAUGUCCGGAAUUAACAUCACUACCUCAAGGGAUUCACAAGCUCACUGUCUUACAAGAAAUAAUAAUUACUGAGUGUCCCCUCUUACAACAAAGAUGCCAGAGGCAAACAGGAGAAGAUUGGCCCAACAUUGCUCAUGUCCGAUACGUGUAUGUGGAUAAUAAAGCAACACAAAACUUCUUAAGGAACUUUUUAUUUUCCAAUGGUUGAAUCUUUUGGACCUAGUUGCACCUUCUACUGCUGCAGCCUCUACCUCAUCUCCAAAUACAUCAGAGAGGGGGCCAGCACACACAGGGUAUGGAGGAUUCUGUGAUGGAUGAAUGAAGUGUAUAAAGUUUUUAGGCCAAAGAGAAGCAGUUUGAUUAAAUGUCCCAAAAGUGGAGUAAUUUGCUGCAAAGUGAUGCAGAGCUCUCUCAGCUUACGCUGGCUCUCUCCCUCUCUCACGACUUCUUCACUCUUGGACUGUCUUUCACUCUUCUCUCUCACGCCUAGCAUUCUCUCACAAAGGAAUCUAAUGAUUGAAACUAAACAAUGAGUUGUCAGGAGUUACUCAACAUCAUGAAAGAUUUUCAUAUGGUUAGAUUGUGCCCUGCUCUAUAUAAUUAAUGGCAUAUAAAACACAACCUGAGAUCUGCCAGGCUUAUUCAAUUUCUUCUGUUCCUUACUCUGUUUACUUCUAGGUUCGGCACUUCCUACUCGCUUUUUGGCUUUAUAUAUUAUGGAGAUAAUUAUGUUGUUGUUUGAUUGAUAGGAUAUGCAAAUUAUUUUAUGUGGAUUAAUAUUUUUGUUUGCAUUUCAACUGCUAGCUUAUCAGGCUGUCUUUGAAAGUAGUAUAUAUUGGUACUACUGUUUUGCAAAUACUGUUUCUGUUUGUGAGAGUUCUUGUUUGGAUACUAGUACUGUUUUGGUGCGUAUACACAUUUUGAUUAUUUGGUGGUCAUCUGUUAGUGUAUGGUGUAGUUCUAAUAGGAGCAAUUUUCAAAUCAAAAGUUAGUCAUGUUUCUCCAAUUUGUUUUACUGGUAGAUGCUAACAUAUUAGGGAAAUAGUUUUGUUAAGACUAUGUUAGCACACACUAAUAUCAUUCCUGCUGUUUCUGAAUUAUGUCAUUCACUUUUUGGCUUUAAUUAAUGUCAGCAGUUGGGAAGGGUUAGUAUAUUUCCAAUCUUUUCAAAAAUAAAAAGGGAAAAAAUUAUUUCUUUUUUACAUUAAAGUAUUCUUCCAAAUAAAGUAAAAAAAAAAAAAAAAA